rnacentral:rRNA from 1 species
AUUGAACGCUGGCGGCAUGCCUUACACAUGCAAGUCGAACGGUAACGGGCCUUCGGGUGCCGACGAGUGGCGAACGGGUGAGUAAUACAUCGGAACGUGCCCGAUCGUGGGGGAUAACGAGGCGAAAGCUUUGCUAAUACCGCAUACGAUCUACGGAUGAAAGCAGGGGACCGCAAGGCCUUGCGCGGACGGAGCGGCCGAUGGCAGAUUAGGUAGGCGGUGGGAUAAAAGCUUACCAAGCCGACGAUCUGUAGCUGGUCUGAGAGGAUGAUCAGCCACACUGGGACUGAGACACGGCCCAGACUCCUACGGGAGGCAGCAGUGGGGAAUUUUGGACAAUGGGCGCAAGCCUGAUCCAGCCAUGCCGCGUGCAGGAUGAAGGCCUUCGGGUUGUAAACUGCUUUUGUACGGAACGAAAAGCCUUCUUUUAAUACAGGAGGGUCAUGACGGUACCGUAAGAAUAAGCACCGGCUAACUACGUG